rnacentral:rRNA from 1 species
AUUGAACGCUGGCGGCAUGCUUUACACAUGCAAGUCGAACGGUAACAGGUUAAGCUGACGAGUGGCGAACGGGUGAGUAAUGCAUCGGAACGUGCCCGGUCGUGGGGGAUAACGCAGCGAAAGCUGCGCUAAUACCGCAUACGAUCUAAGGAUGAAAGCGGGGGACCGUAAGGCCUCGCGCGAUCGGAGCGGCCGAUGUCAGAUUAGGUAGUUGGGGGGGUAAAGGAUCACCAAGCCAACGAUCUGUAGCUGGGAUGAGAGGACGACCAGCCACACUGGGACUGAGACACGGCCCAGACUCCUACGGGAGGCAGCAGUGGGGAAUUUUGGACAAUGGGCGAAAGCCUGAUCCAGCAAUGCCGCGUGCAGGAAGAAGGCCUUCGGGUUGUAAACUGCUUUUGUACGGAGCGAAAAGGUCUCCUCUAAUACAGGGGGCUCAUGACGGUACCGUAAGAAUAAGCACCGGCUAACUUCGUGCCAGCAGCCGCCGUAA